CCUACGGGGGGCAGCAGUAAGGAAUAUUGGGCAAUGGACGAGAGUCUGACCCAGCCAUGCCGCGUGAAGGAUGAAGGUCUCAGGAUUGUAAACUUCUUUUAUCUGGGACGCAGUACCAGAGGAAUAAGCACCGGCUAACUCCGUGCCAGCAGCCGCGGUAAUACGGAGGGUGCAAGCGUUAUCCGGAUUUACUGGGUUUAAAGGGUGCGUAGGCGGGUAGGUAAGUCAGUGGUGAAAUCUUCGAGCUUAACUCGGAAAUUGCCGUUGAUACUAUUUAUCUUGAAUAUCGUUGAGGUUUGCGGAAUAUGUCAUGUAGCGGUGAAAUGCUUAGAGAUGACAUAGAACACCUAUUGCGAAGGCAGCAGGCUAAACGAAAUUGACGCUGAGGCACGAAAGCGUGGGGAUCAAACAGGAUUAGAUACCCUUGUAGUC
rnacentral:rRNA from 1 species